UACAGAGGGGGCAAGCGUUGUUCGGAAUUACUGGGCGUAAAGGGCGCGUAGGCGGCCUGCUAAGUCGAACGUGAAAUCCCUGGGCUCAACCCAGGAACUGCGUCCGAUACUGGUUGGCUUGAAUCCGGGAGAGGGACGUGGAAUUCCAGGUGUAGCGGUGAAAUGCGUAGAUAUCAGGAGGAACACCGGUGGCGAAGGCGGCCUUCUGGGCCUGUUCUGACGCUGAGGAGCGAAAGCGUGGGGAGCAAACAGG
rnacentral:rRNA from 1 species